rnacentral:misc_RNA from 1 species
GAAUGGCAUCCUCCACCACUGGGCGGCGAAAUAAAUAAUACAACUUUCAACAACGGAUCUCUUGGCUCUCGCAUCCAUGAAGAACGCAACGAAUUGCGAUAAGUAAUGUGAAUUGCAGAUUUUCAGUGAAUCAUCCAAUCUUUGAACGCACCUUGCGCUCCUUGGUAUUCCGAAGAACAUGCCUGUUUGAAUGUCAUUAAAUUCUCAACCAUGACUUUGUUGACCUGGCUUGGAAUUGGGGGUUGCUGGCUUGGUUGUCAGCUCUCCUGAAAUACAUUAACGGUGGACAAACAAGGCCUUCCGACGUGAUAAUGAUCGUCCUGGGGCGGAACAUCAACGUCUGUCUGCUUCUAAAUCCCAGAUGCCUUAACUAGACAUCAUUUCCAACGCUUGACCUCAAAU